ACAUCGAUAGUAUACAAGUACAGCUGCCUUCCAAGCAGAAAGCCCACACCUGGCCGAUGUA
rnacentral:tRNA from 1 species